UGGGGAAUAUUGGACAAUGGGCGAAAGCCUGAUCCAGCCAUGCCGCGUGUGUGAAGAAGGUCGUCGGAUUGUAAAGCACUUUAAGUUGGGAGGAAGGGCAGUAAGCGAAUACCUUGCUGUUUUGACGUUACCGACAGAAUAAGCACCGGCUAACUCUGUGCCAGCAGCCGCGGUAAUACAGAGGGUGCAAGCGUUAAUCGGAAUUACUGGGCGUAAAGCGCGCGUAGGUGGUUCGUUAAGUUGAAUGUGAAAGCCCCGGGCUCAACCUGGGAACUGCAUCCAAAACUGGCGAGCUAGAGUAGGGCAGAGGGUGGUGGAAGUUCCUGUUUAGCGGUGAAAUGCGUAGAUAUAGGAAGGAACACCAGUGGCGAAGGCGACCACCAGGGCUCAUACUGACACUGAGGUGCGAAAGCGUGGGGAGCAAACAGG
rnacentral:rRNA from 1 species